CAGUAGCCGCGGUAAAACGUAGGGUGCAAGCGUUAAUCGGAAUUACUGGGCGUAAAGCGUGCGCAGGCGGUUAUAUAAGACAGAUGUGAAAUCCCCGGGCUCAACCUGGGAACUGCAUUUGUGACUGUAUAGCUAGAGUACGGCAGAGGGGGAUGGAAUUCCGCGUGUAGCAGUGAAAUGCGUAGAUAUGCGGAGGAACACCGAUGGCGAAGGCAAUCCCCUGGGCCUGUACUGACGCUCAUGCACGAAAGCGUGGGGAGCAAACAGGAUUAGAUACCCGUGUAGUCCCUGUCUCUUAUAC
rnacentral:rRNA from 1 species